GACGAACGCUGGCGGAGUGCUUAACACAUGCAAGUCGAACGAAGUGGCGAACGGGUGAGUAACGCGUAGUAAACCUGCCCUUCAGAGGGGCACAACAGUUGGAAAGGAGUGCUAAUACCCCAUACUGAAGGGGGGGAAUGCGUCGUAUAAGCUAGUUGGAGGGGUAAAGGCCUACCAAGGCGAGGAUCAGUAGCCGGUCUGGGAGGGUGAACGGCCACAUUUGGACGGGGAAACGGCCCAGACUCCUACGGGAGGCAGCAGUGGGGAAUCGUCCGCAAUGGACGAAAGUCCGACGGAGCAACGCCGCGGUAUGGAUGACGGCCUUCGGGUUGUAAAGCUCUGUUAAUCGGGACGCGGUACCGGAAUAGAAAGCCACGGCUAACUACGUGCCAGCCGCCGCGGUAAUUC
rnacentral:rRNA from 1 species